rnacentral:rRNA from 1 species
AAAGCAUUCUCUGGUGUUGAAGGCCCUGCAAAGCAGCAUCGCGGUGGCGGAGCGUCGUUUGCGACGCCCAACACACAAAACAAGCGGUGAGUGCUUUGGGGUGGGGUGACUGCGUACCUUUUGUAUAAUGGGUCAGCGACUUAUAUUCUGUAGCAAGGUUAACCGUAUAGGGGAGCCGCAGGGAAACCGAGUCUUAAUUGGGCGUUAAGUUGCAGGGUAUAGACCCGAAACCCGGUGAUCUAGCCAUGGGCAGGUUGAAGGUUGGGUAACACUAACUGGAGGACCGAACCGACUAAUGUUGAAAAAUUAGCGGAUGACCUGUGGCUGGGGGUGAAAGGCCAAUCAAACCGGGAGAUAGCUGGUUCUCCCCGAAAGCUAUUUAGGUAGCGCCUCGUGAAUUCAUCUCCGGGGGUAGAGCACUGUUUCGGCUAGGGGGCCAUCCCGGCUUACCAACCCGAUGCAAACUGCGAAUACCGGAGAAUGUUAUCACGGGAGACACACGGCGGGUGCUAACGUCCGUCGUGAAGAGGGAAACAACCCAGACCGCCAGCUAAGGUCCCAAAGUCAUGGUUAAGUGGGAAACGAUGUGGGAAGGCCCAGACAGCCAGGAUGUUGGCUUAGAAGCAGCCAUCAUUUAAAGAAAGCGUAAUAGCUCACUGGUCGAGUCGGCCUGCGCGGAAGAUGUAACGGGGCUAAACCAUGCACCGAAGCUGCGGCAGCGACGCUUAUGCGUUGCUGGGUAGGGGAGCGUUCUGUAAGCCUGCGAAGGUGGCCUGUGAGGGUUGCUGGAGGUAUCAGAAGUGCGAAUGCUGACAUAAGUAACGAUAAAGCGGGUGAAAAGCCCGCUCGCCGGAAGACCAAGGGUUCCUGUCCAACGUUAAUCGGGGCAGGGUGAGUCGACCCCUAAGGCGAGGCCGAAAGGCGUAGUCGAUGGGAAACGGGUUAAUAUUCCCGUACUUGGUGUUACUGCGAAGGGGGGACGGAGAAGGCUAUGUUGGCCGGGCGACGGUUGUCCCGGUUUAAGCGUGUAGGUGUGUGUUCCAGGUAAAUCCGGUUCACUUUAACACUGAGGCGUGACGACGAGGCACUACGGUGCUGAAGCAACAAAUGCCCUGCUUCCAGGAAAAGCCUCUAAGCAUCAGGUAACAUCAAAUCGUACCCCAAACCGACACAGGUGGUCAGGUAGAGAAUACCAAGGCGCUUGAGAGAACUCGGGUGAAGGAACUAGGCAAAAUGGUGCCGUAACUUCGGGAGAAGGCACGCUGACAC